rnacentral:rRNA from 1 species
UUGAACGCUGGCGGCAGGCCUCACACAUGCAAGUCGAGCGGAUGAAGGGAGCUUGCUCCUGGAUUCAGCGGCGGACGGGUGAGUAAUGCCUAGGAAUCUGCCUGGUAGUGGGGGAUAACGUCCGGAAACGGGCGCUAAUACCGCAUACGUCCUGAGGGAGAAAGUGGGGGAUCUUCGGACCUCACGCUAUCAGAUGAGCCUAGGUCGGAUUAGCUAGUUGGUGGGGUAAAGGCCUACCAAGGCGACGAUCCGUAACUGGUCUGAGAGGAUGAUCAGUCACACUGGAACUGAGACACGGUCCAGACUCCUACGGGAGGCAGCAGUGGGGAAUAUUGGACAAUGGGCGAAAGCCUGAUCCAGCCAUGCCGCGUGUGUGUAGAAGGUCUUCGGAUUGUAAAGCACUUUAAGUUGGGAGGAAGGGCAGUAAGUUAAUACCUUGCUGUUUUGACGUUACCAACAGAAUAAGCACCGGCUAACUUCGUG